rnacentral:ncRNA from 2 species
AAAUAUUUCGAGCAAGUGAUUUUUCUUUAUAAGAAAAAUUAAACAGGGAAGCCGGUGUGAAUCCGGCGCGGUCCCGCCACUGUAAAUGGGGAGUUUUUGCCAUAUCCACUGAGGAAACUUGGGAAGGAGGCAAUAAACGAUGAACCUAAGCCAGGAGACCUGACUGCUCGUAUGCUUUAAC